AGGCAAUUAGUUUAAGAAAAACCUUUGAUUUCGGCUCAAAAAACUGUGGUUAAAGUCCAUAAUUAUCUA
rnacentral:tRNA from 1 species